rnacentral:rRNA from 1 species
UACAGAGGGUGCGAGCGUUAAUCGGAAUUACUGGGCGUAAAGCGCACGUAGUCGGCUUUGCAAGUCGGUUGUGAAAUCCCCAGGCUCAACUUGGGAACUGCAUCCGAUACUGGAUGGCUUGAAUUCGGGAGAGGGAUGCAGAAUUCCAGGUGUAGCGGUGAAAUGCGUAGAUAUCUGGAGGAAUACCGGUGGCGAAGGCGGCAUCCUGGACCGACAUUGACGCUGAGGAGCGAAAGCUAGGGGAGCAAACGGG